GGGGGGGGGAGGCGUGACCCACCCUGACGAGCGCAGAGCGCGUCGAACCGCCGCCGCCAGCCCUGAGCAGCGGAGGGCCGAGAAGGCCGAUGGCAUCCUGACUGGAAUCAGGCACAGCGCAGCCAGCGGGAGCGGGGAGGUCGCUGUCCCCCUGUCCUCAGCUCUGGUGAGGCUGUGCCUCGGGUGCUGUGUUCAGUGCUGGGCUCCUCACUACAAGAAAGGCGUUGAGGCCCCGGAGUGUGUCCAGAGAAGGGCAGUAAAGCUGUGAGGGGUCUGGAGCACAAAUCUCAUGGGGAAAAGCUGAAGGAGCUGCGAUGGUUCAGUCUGCGGGAGACUCUGGGGAGACCUUAUUGUGCUCUACAGCUGCCUGAAAGAAGCUUGUGGCCAGCUGGGGGUCGGCCUCUUCUCCCAGGCGUCUGCCAGUCUCCCACACGAGGCCGCGUUGCAGUUUCUGUGUCAGGAAGGUUUCUAUGUUCAUCUGCCAGUUCCAGCCCUUUCGAUAGGCGUGGAGGAGCUCUUGCUGCGCCGUGUGUGAAGGCGUGGCUACACCGAAGCAGGAGAGCAGGGUGAAGGGAAGGGGUGGCUGCGUCACCUGAACCCGGCCACCAGAGGAUCCAGCCCACGGGGCGCUCGCUCGCAGCUCACCUAGCGGGUCAUCGGCUGCAGCACAUCCCCAGGAAAGCCCCACGAGAUGUGGCAGGGGUGGAUACGAAAUAUGAACCGAAUCCAUUUGCAGGUUUGAUUUGCAGCCUGAGCACGGCCCCGACUGUUCCACCUCUCACACCGAGGGACAAACCAAGCUACAAGCACACGAAACGCCACGAGUGAAAACCCCCAAGACGUGUUUCCCUCUUUGCAGUGCCAACCGUUCCUCCUUACGCGGCGUUUGGACACACCCACAGUGCCCCACCGAACAGCCAGAAAGAAGGCGGAAGGUUCAGACCCCACCCCGAGUAUGGUCCCCUCCACCUGGUGAAGCCCAGCGGGGCUUUCCAGUGCUGCAGGCAGGAAUGCACCCCCUGACUGCUGUCCUGUGAGCAUACAGUCAGCAAGAAGGCUCAGGGAUGGAGCUGAGCAAGCAGAGUUGGCCAAAGGGGAGAGAGCCACUCCUACUGCUGUUAGCACUGAUUUUCUUGUUAUAGCAGCACAAAUAACAGUGACAAAAAUGAUCAUUACUGUGUUGUAGGCAUUUUUUUCUCACCGCAAUACUGUUUCCCUUCUAAGACAUGUAAUGAUCCCCCCCACAGCAGCUGCAGACCCGAUUGCUGCAAUGUGGACAUUGCUCAGGUGCAGCCUACCUG
rnacentral:lncRNA from 1 species